UACGUAGGUGGCGAGCGUUGUCCGGAAUUACUGGGUGUAAAGCGCGUGUAGGCGGGCGGCCAAGUCUGUGGUGAAAUCGCUCGGCUUAACUGGGCGGGGUCCAUGGAAACUGGUCACCUGGAGGUCGGUAGAGGCAAGUGGAAUUCCCGGUGUAGUGGUGAAAUGCGUAGAGAUCCGGAGGAACACCAGAGGCGAAGGCGGCCCACUGGGCUGCACCUGACGCUGAACCGCGAAAGCCAGGGGAGCGAACGGG
rnacentral:rRNA from 1 species